CUAGCAAACAGAUGUGUGGCCUCUCCAAUAUAGGAGAGGUUCUUGUGGUCUGUAAGUAUAGUUAUUGGAGUUGGAGUACCUUUUAAAAGAUGGUGCCAUUCCUUCAAUGCCAAAAUAAUAGCAAGGAGUUCCCUAUCUCCAAUAUCAUACCUCCUUUCAGUGUCACAUAGUUUUUUGGAAUAAAAUCCACAGGGAUGGGGAGGUUGAUCAGGUUCUUUA